CAGCCGCCGCGGUAAUACGGAGGGUGCAAGCGUUACUCGGAAUCACUGGGCGUAAAGGACGCGUAGGCGGAUUAUCAAGUCUCUUGUGAAAUCUAACGGCUUAACCGUUAAACUGCUUGGGAAACUGAUAAUCUAGAGUAAGGGAGAGGCAGAUGGAAUUCUUGGUGUAGGGGUAAAAUCCGUAGAUAUCAAGAAGAAUACCUAUUGCGAAGGCGAUCUGCUGGAACUUAACUGACGCUAAUGCGUGAAAGCGUGGGGAGCACACAGGAUUAGAUACCCCUGUAGUCCCUGUCUCUUAUAC
rnacentral:rRNA from 1 species